rnacentral:rRNA from 1 species
UACGUAGGGGGCUAGCGUUGUCCGGAAUCAUUGGGCGUAAAGCGCGUGUAGGCGGCCCGGUAAGUCCGCUGUGAAAGUCCAGGGCUCAACCCUGGGAUGCCGGUGGAUACUGUCGGGCUAGAGUCCGGAAGAGGCGAGUGGAAUUCCUGGUGUAGCGGUGAAAUGCGCAGAUAUCAGGAAGAACACCCGUGGCUAAGGCGGCUCUCUAGUACGUGACUGACGCUGAGACGCGAAAGCGUGGGGAGCGAACAGG